rnacentral:rRNA from 1 species
GAUGAACGCUGGCGGCGUGCCUAAUACAUGCAAGUCGAGCGAACAGACGAGGAGCUUGCUCCUCUGACGUUAGCGGCGGACGGGUGAGUAACACGUGGAUAACCUACCUAUAAGACUGGGAUAACUUCGGGAAACCGGAGCUAAUACCGGAUAAUAUAUUGAACCGCAUGGUUCAAUAGUGAAAGACGGUUUUGCUGUCACUUAUAGAGGGAUCCGCGCCGCAUUAGCUAGUUGGUAAGGUAACGGCUUACCAAGGCAACGAUGCGUAGCCGACCUGAGAGGGUGAUCGGCCACACUGGAACUGAGACACGGUCCAGACUCCUACGGGAGGCAGCAGUCGGGAAUCUUCCGCAAUGGGCGAAAGCUUGACGGAGCAACGCCGCGUGAGUGAUGAAGGUCUUCGGAUCGUAAAACUCUGUUAUUGGGGAAGAACAGAUGUGUAAGUAACUAUGCACGUCUUGACGGUACCUAAUCAGAAAGCCACGGCUAACUACGUG